CUCAAGUUGCCCUCGCCCAAGGCCUCGUCGGUGGCCAUUGCGAUGGCGGUCGAAAUGGCCUCGUCGACGACCCCGCGGCAGGAAUCGUCGGCGGCGGUCGGGUCGAGCAAAAGGGCGACGGCCUCGGCAUCGCGCGAGCACAAACUGGCAUAGAGCGGCGACUUUGAGGGCUCGUCCGAUGGCAGCGCGGCGCCUUUGCCAGUCGUAAAAGGCGCACGGGCACAGCCGUGUGCAUAGAGGAAGCGGACUACGUCGGCGUGACCCUCGCGCCACGCUUCCCACGCCCAACGCGGGUCGCCAGAACCCAUGCGCAUGCACGCCCACCGUGCAAUGUCCAUGUCACCGCGCGCAUAUGCCGUGGCGGCCACAGGCAGGUACAUGGACGCUGUCAUGGUGUUCCCCGGCGCUGGCUCGACGACCGGGUCCGCUCUGUCGGCACUCUGCGGGUCGUCGCCCAACUCGGCCAUGAGGUCGCACCGGCCGGCCAAAGCCAUUAUGACCACGAGCACGGGAGCGAUCGACGCAAAGAUGGUGGCGUCGUCGUUGGUCUCGUGCGGCUUCCCGUGCCCGUAAAGCCACACGAUGUCGUCGCAUGCGGACGGCCAAGGCAGAACGAGCGAUACCGAAACCAGCGAUGGCGAGUUGGACGACAUGGAAUCCAACCACUGAAAGACAAACUUUGCAAACAUGCCAGGCCAGGCGCAGCGCUUUAGAGCGACGGCGACGGCAUCGUCGCCGUACUGCGCGCGCAGCCCUGGCAGGCCGCCAUGCGAGGCGAUGCGCCAGACGGCCUUUGAGGCAUUGUCUGAAGCGCUCGAUGGAUCGGCCAUGGCCUCGCGGACCACCGCGUCGUCCGAGGCUUCUUGUUCGCCACGUUGGGUGGUGCCAAAAAGCAUCGAAGCCGCCGCCAAUAGGGCUCGACUGAUGUCUGCAUCGUCUCCCAACGCGAUUGACCGUUGGAACAGGCCAGCGACGUCGAGACCGCUCGCGUCCGAGACACGCUCAGCGAUGGCGCGCAUCUCGUCCACGGUCAUAUUCGGGGCCGCCCAUGCGUUCUUGAGCGCGACUCCGAUAUCCAGGCGCAGGCGAUGCCACAAAGACCAGGCGCAUUGUCGUGGCACCUUUCGGAGCAUCUUGCGCGCAGACGCCACGUCUUCCACAGCGAUCAUGCGCGUCGGACGGUUACCCUCGGCGCACAGCCACGUCAGAGACCCAUCGAUGUUGCAGCGGGCGGCGGCCACAGCGAGGGCUAGCCAUGGUGCCGGCAUCAGCGGCCACGUUGGUGCGUCGACCGUAGGAUUUUGCGAAACCGAGUGGAUGAACCUGAGUUCGUCCAGGAGCGUGUAGGUCCACGUCUCCUGGCUGUCGGGCAUCAUGGACUUUUCGGGCGACGCCAUGGCGACGAUGCGCCCUUUGAUGUGGUCGAGUAUGUCGACGCGGUCGCCGACGACGGCCACGUACAGACAGGCGUCCCAGCGAAAGCCAGCGACGGGACCAAAGACCUCGGGUCGAGAAGCGGCAUAAUGCAGGCCGUCUAGAUCUCCGGCCGCACAGAGCGACAAGAGGGUCGAGUAGCGGCAGCGGCGGGCGGCAAAGUCAGCGCCAGUGAGGACGUGGAAGCGACGCCAGGCCAGGAGGCAUGCGCCCAGGUCCUUGGGGUCGUUGACAUGCACGGAAACAAUAAAGUGAAGGAUCUCGUCGGG
rnacentral:lncRNA from 1 species